rnacentral:lncRNA from 1 species
CGAGCUUCUCCUCCUCCGUUAAGAUUUUCUCCAGAUCUGCGAGCUUCUCCUCGUCCAUUAACGUGCAUUCUCCUCCUCAAUCUGUUUCUCAGUUUGCGUUCUAAGAACUUCUCACUCUUAGAUCUGUAACUAAAUUCACAUCCUGUGGUUGUAAUUACUUCGAUGAUUGUUAUAUGCUAAUUGUUCUAAUUACAUGCUCUCUCAAUAAUGCUUUCGUUUUCGAUUUUGUAUUCACUCUUAAUUAUUGUUUCUAGCAUUUCGUCUUUUAUGCGGCUUUGAUAAUUGACCUGAU